GUGGAGCAAAACUCAAAAACUUGUCUCAGUUCGGAUUGUAGGCUGAAACUCGCCUACAUGAAGCUGGAGUUGCUAGUAAUCGCGAAUCAGCAUGUCGCGGUGAAUACGUUCCCGGGCCUUGUACACACCGCCCGUCACACCAUGAGAGUUGGCAAUACCCAACGUACGUGAUCUAACCCGCAAGGGAGGAAGCGUCCUAAGGUAGGGUCAGCGAUUGGGGUGAAGUCGUAACAAGGUAGC
rnacentral:rRNA from 1 species